rnacentral:rRNA from 1 species
GACGAACGCUGGCGGCGUGCUUAACACAUGCAAGUCGAACGGAAAGGCCCUGCUUUUGUGGGGUGCUCGAGUGGCGAACGGGUGAGUAACACGUGAGUAACCUGCCCUUGACUUUGGGAUAACUUCAGGAAACUGGGGCUAAUACCGGAUAGGUGCUCCUGCUGCAUGGUGGGGGUUGGAAAGUUUCGGCGGUUGGGGAUGGACUCGCGGCUUAUCAGCUUGUUGGUGGGGUAGUGGCUUACCAAGGCUUUGACGGGUAGCCGGCCUGAGAGGGUGACCGGCCACAUUGGGACUGAGAUACGGCCCAGACUCCUACGGGAGGCAGCAGUGGGGAAUAUUGCACAAUGGGCGGAAGCCUGAUGCAGCAACGCCGCGUGCGGGAUGACGGCCUUCGAGUUGUAAACCGCUUUCGCCUGUGACGAAGCGUGAGUGACGGUAAUGGGUAAAGAAGCACCGGCUAACUACGUG